rnacentral:rRNA from 1 species
CCUACGGGGGGCAGCAGUGGGGAAUAUUGCACAAUGGGCGCAAGCCUGAUGCAGCCAUGCCGCGUGUGUGAAGAAGGCCUUCGGGUUGUAAAGCACUUUCAGCGGGGAGGAAGGCGGUGAGGUUAAUAACCUCAUCGAUUGACGUUACCCGCAGAAGAAGCACCGGCUAACUCCGUGCUAGCAGCCGCGGUAAUACGGAGGGUGCAAGCGUUAAUCGGAAUUACUGGGCGUAAAGCGCACGCAGGCGGUCUGUCAAGUCGGGUGUGAAAUCCCCGGGCUCAACCUGGGAACUGCAUUCGAAACUGGCAGGCUAGAGUCUUGUAGUGGGGGGUAGAAUUCCAGGUGUAGCGGUGAAAUGCGUAGAGAUCUGGAGGAAUACCGGUGGCGAAGGCGGCCCCCUGGACAAAGACUGACGCUCAGGUGCGAAAGCGUGGGGAGCAAACAGGAUCAGAUACCCUAGUAGUC